UACGUAGGUGGCAAGCGUUUGUCCGGAUUUACUGGGCGUAAAGAGCGCGCAGGCGGUCGUCCAAGUCGCGUGUGAAAGCCCCGGCUCAACUGGGGAGGGUCACGCGAUACUGGUCGACUCGAAGGCAGGAGAGGGUAGUGGAAUUCCCGGUGUAGUGGUGAAAUGCGUAGAUAUCGGGAGGAACACCAGUAGCGAAGGCGACUACCUGGCCUGUUCUUGACGCUGAGGCGCGAAAGCUAGGGGAGCAAACGGGG
rnacentral:rRNA from 1 species